CACGUAGUUAGCCGUGGCUUUCUGGUUAGGUACCGUCAAGACUUGUUCAGUUACUAACAAAUUUGUUCUUCCCUAACAACAGAGUUUUACGAUCCUAAGACCUUCAUCACUCACGCGGCGUUGCUCCGUCAGGCUUUCGCCCAUUGCGGAAGAUUCCCUGCUGCUGCCUCCCGUAGGAGUCUGGACCGUGUCUCAGGUUCCAGUGUGGCCGAUCACCCUCUCAGGUCGGCUACGUAUCGUUGCCUUGGUAAGCCGUUACCUUACCAACUAGCUAAUACGGCGCGGGUCCAUCUAUAAGUGACAGCCGAAACCGUCUUUCAACAUUGAACCAUGCGGUUACAAUAUAUUAUCGGUAUUACGCCCCGGUUUCCGGAGUUACUCCCUAGUUCCUUAGUAGGUUACGGUUACCCUACGUGUUACUCCGACCCGUCCGCCGUACUAAC
rnacentral:rRNA from 1 species